rnacentral:rRNA from 1 species
GGGUCAGUAGGUUGGUCGUGCCACCGGUACGUACUGGUCUCACUGAUUCCUCCUUCCUGAAGAACCGUAAUGCCAUUAAUUUGGUGUUGCGGGGAAACAGGACUGUUACUUUGGAAAAAUUAGAGUGUUUAAAGCAAGCUAACGCUUGAAUACAUUAGCAUGGAAUAAUGAAAUAGGACGAUCGAUCCUAUUUUGUUGGUUCCUAGGAUUGACGUA